rnacentral:rRNA from 1 species
UACGUAGGGUGCGAGCGUUGUCCGGAAUUAUUGGGCGUAAAGAGCUCGUAGGCGGCUUGUCGCGUCGGAUGUGAAAGCCCGGGGCUUAACUCCGGGUCUGCAGUCGAUACGGGCAGGCUAGAGUUCGGCAGGGGAGACUGGAAUUCCUGGUGUAGCGGUGAAAUGCGCAGAUAUCGGAAGGAACACCAGUGGCGAAAGCGGCUUCCUGGUCCGACACCGACGUUCAGGCACGAAAGCGUGGGGAGCAAACAGG